UACGUAGGGUGCGAGCGUUGUCCGGAUUUACUGGGCGUAAAGAGCUCGUAGGCGGUUUGUCGCGUCGUCUGUGAAAUCCCACGGCUCAAUCGUGGGCGUGCAGGCGAUACGGGCAUAACUUGAGUACUGUAGGGGAGACUGGAAUUCCUGGUGUAGCGGUGGAAUGCGCAGAUAUCAGGAGGAACACCGGUGGCGAAGGCGGGUCUCUGGGCAGUAACUGACGCUGAGGAGCGAAAGCGUGGGUAGCGAACAGG
rnacentral:rRNA from 1 species